UACGGAGGGUGCAAGCGUUGUUCGGAAUUACUGGGCGUAAAGCGCGCGUAGGCGGUUUUAUAAGUCAGAUGUGAAAGCCCAUGGCUCAACCAUGGACGUGCAUUUGAAACUGUGAGACUUGAGUAUUGGAGGGGGUGGUGGAAUUCCCGGUGUAGAGGUGAAAUUCGUAGAUAUCGGGAGGAAUACCAGUGGCGAAGGCGACCACCUGGCCAAAUACUGACGCUAAGGUGCGAAAGCGUGGGGAGCAAACAGG
rnacentral:rRNA from 1 species